rnacentral:lncRNA from 1 species
GUGUGAUAGACCUCCUCCAAUUCAGGAUCAAACCUGACCGGUCUCAUUUGAUAAACGAUAUAAACCAACUGUCCAAUAUUUAACAACAAGAAAGUAAAGUUCCAGGAGAAGAUAUCUGGUGCACAAAUCACGUGCCAUGCCCAUCCGGACAGCAACAUGAAACCUAUGAAGCAGACAUACCGACGAUUAAAACUGAGUGCAUAAACAAUAUACCCUUCUUCGAGGACGGUGCUGAGUAAGAGAGUGCAAAGCAGAAAUUCGCUAACUGGAAUAAUAUGUGUUGUGGCUGUUGCCAUAGGCACAGUGCGGUAUUACCUGAUAAAGAAAAAGAAAUCGUGAGAUUUUCGCUCGAUGAAUAGACAAGAUAAUAGACGAAGAGAAAAGUGACAGAAUGAAGACAAUUGUAAUACAGAUAAAAAAAAUAGAUACUAAUUAAAUUAUACUUUUUAACUGACCUAUUGACGUGACGUUAUAGGAAGGCAAAGGGUCGUGACCCAGUCCAGGGCUCAUCUUUGUGCGAUCUUAAAAAUAUAUGGUAUAAUAUAUAUGGUAAGAAAGUAA